AACGAACGCUGGCGGCAGGCUUAACACAUGCAAGUCGAACGCUCCGCAAGGAGAGUGGCAGACGGGUGAGUAACGCGUGGGAAUCUACCCAUCUCUACGGAAUAACUCAGGGAAACUUGUGCUAAUACCGUAUACGCCCUUCGGGGAAGAUUUAUCGGAGAUGGAUGAGCCCGCGUUGGAUUAGCUAGUUGGUGGGGUAA
rnacentral:rRNA from 1 species